UACGAAGGGGGCUAGCGUUGUUCGGAAUCACUGGGCGUAAAGCGCACGUAGGCGGACUUGUCAGUCAGGGGUGAAAUCCCGGAGCUCGACUUCGGAACUGCCUCUGAUACAGCAAGUCUUGAGUCCGGAAGAGGUGGGUGGAAUUCCUAGUGUAGAGGUGAAAUUCGUAGAUAUUAGGAAGAACACCGGUGGCGAAGGCGGCCCACUGGUCCGGUACUGACGCUGAGGUGCGAAAGCGUGGGGAGCAAACAGG
rnacentral:rRNA from 1 species